AACGAACGCUGGCGGCAUGCCUAAUACAUGCAAGUCGAACGAACACUUCGGUGUUAGUGGCGCACGGGUGCGUAACGCGUGGGAAUCUACCCUUGGGUUCGGAAUAACAGUUGGAAACGACUGCUAAUACCGGAUGAUGACGUAAGUCCAAAGAUUUAUCGCCCAAGGAUGAGCCCGCGUAGGAUUAGCUAGUUGGUGGGGUAAAGGCCUACCAAGGCUACGAUCCUUAGCUGGUCUGAGAGGAUGAUCAGCCACACUGGGACUGAGACACGGCCCAGACUCCUACGGGAGGCAGCAGUAGGGAAUAUUGGACAAUGGGCGAAAGCCUGAUCCAGCAAUGCCGCGUGAGCGAUGAAGGCCUUAGGGUUGUAAAGCUCUUUUACCCGGGAUGAUAAUGACAGUACCGGGAGAAUAAGCCCCGGCUAACUCCGUGCCAGCCGCCGCGGUAA
rnacentral:rRNA from 1 species